GUAUGUAAUUGUGAAGUGAGUGUGUCAGUCUAUGUAUGAAAGGGAAUGUCUUCUUAAUUGAACCGGGUACUAAUCAACAGGCACAACAUGCAAAUGUAAAUAUGGUAUCCUUAUUUCAGUACUUCAACUUCACUGCACAUUCAAAUGUUGAGGCUGAAGUGUAAAAGUUGGAGCAGCUCAAGUCAAGUAAGCUCAAAUAGAUCAUUUUGAAAAAGAAGUUGGAACUGGAGCAUCCACCCGACACACUAGGUGCAGCUCCCUUAGCACUACACUAUGCAAG